ACAUGAGACUUUAUAUACAUGUAGCAUAUGGUUCAGGCUUGGUGGGAAAGUCUUCAAUGUUAAAUUUUGAAUAUUACUUCAUUUGAAAGCGAAAGCAACGCUUUUUACUUAGGACAUAUGAUCAAUAAUUAACAGUUUACAUGCAUGAAAUUGUUAAAGCGGAAAGUAGAAACAAAGUAAUUAUCCAUGUUUAAAUAAUAGUCUCAUAAGUGUGAAUUAUAUGGGUAUUAUGUUUGGAGAAUAUAAUUAAUAUUUUAUUGCAUGUGAGGAAUAUACAAUACUGUGAAGUCACGAUGGCUGCUCUGAGACACAGCUAUUCUAAGGUUACAGAUAACGCAUUUCCACCAUGCAAAUGUUACCAGUAUUUGAGCAAGAAAAGGAGCGGCCAGUAUUUUUUAAUGGGAAAGUUAUUACAUAUUAAGGUUAAUGAAAAGUCAGAAAAACAUCACGUGAUGGUCAAAGUUGGUGGUGGUUGGGAGACACUGGAGGAUUAUAUGGAUCGUCAUGUUCCAUACAAAUUUAAGAUAACAGAGUAUAAACGGCCAUUAUAUAGUAACACGUGUGAAGUUAAAGACAUAUAUCUUGGAAUUACAUCACAUUAUAAGUCCUGGAACCAAUCGAAACAGUUUUAUUAUUCACUAUUUUAAAAAAAAAAUACUUUUUUUGGUGAAUCAAUUGAUUCGCUGAAAGCUUUUUGUAACUGAUAGGUAUCUAAUAUUAAAUAAUUGCAAAACAACUUUCUUUGCAAACAACUUUCUUCAGUAAUGAAGGACAGUAAAUACAGUAAGCCUCAACAAAUCGAAUUACAACUUUGUAAAAUGUAA